CUUCUCCCCACCCUCCAAGCUCAUUAGACUAUGUGGAAGAUUAGAGAAUCCAAUUAAAACAAGGCUGACACUUCUCUCAGUCAAUCAAACAAGUAUUCAACGCCUGCUGUGCUGAGGCAGAUACAGAGAAGCUGAAGGUAAGACUGCCCGUGCACCUACCCAGAAGUGGGCUGACAGGAAUCACCGACUUGAAAUAAGGGCUGCUCGACGCUAACCUGUGGGAUCCCAACCAUGGACGAAUGCAGCCAUAGAGACGACGAGGGAAUUUAUAACAGAACAAUGAUUCUAAAGAGAUGAAAGCAGAAACGUGUGGAUUGAUGUGAGUUCAGUGGACUCUGGCCCACCUGGGCACAUUGGUCAACACAGGCAGAAGGAUUGGGCGGAAGGAGGACGCUGACUCCAAGGAAAGCUAGGAAAGAGAAGAUUCAGCAUUCACAGCCUCUGCAGUUGAAGGCUACGAUACCAUGUCAGUGUGUGGUCAUCACAGCAAACGCUGGUGUUUCUUCUGUCAGAAUUCAUCUUUUAUAAGUUGUUGGUGUUUUUUCCUUUUCAUUGGUCAAAUGACAAAAGAGAAGUACUCGAGUCUCUAAUUCCCCUAAGAUGCUGACCCUGGGCAAACCAGAUGCAAAUAAGUCAGGAUCCAUACGUCUGCACCUCUGGGGUCUCUUGUGCCACCGUGGUGCUCAGAACACUGAGAAGUCACCAGCAACGGUCUCCGACCCUUCAGACUAAAACUGCUCUUGUCCCAAACUUAGUGUUUAAAAAUAAAUGGAAAUCAUC
ensembl:lncRNA